rnacentral:rRNA from 1 species
UACGGAAGGUGCAAGCGUUAAUCGGAAUUACUGGGCGUAAAGCGCGCGUAGGCGGCUUCGUAAGUCGGGUGUGAAAGCCCCGGGCUCAACCUGGGAACUGCACUCGAUACUGCGGAGCUCGAGUACGAGAGAGGGGGGUGGAAUUCCAGGUGUAGCGGUGAAAUGCGUAGAGAUCUGGAGGAACACCGGUGGCGAAGGCGGUUCUCUGGGACGGUACUGACGCUGAGACGCGAAAGCGUGGGGAGCGAACAGG